rnacentral:rRNA from 1 species
GUCGAACGGUAAGGCCCUUCGGGGUACACGAGUGGCGAACGGGUGAGUAACCGUGGGUAAUCUGCCCUGCACUUCGGGAUAAGCCUGGGAAACUGGGUCUAAUACCGGAUAUUCAGUUCCUGCCGCAUGGUGGGGGUUGGAAAGUUUUUCGGUGCACGAUGAGCCCGCGCGCCUAUCACCUUGUUGGUGGGGUAAUGGCCUACCAAGGCGACGACAGGUAGCCGGCCUGAGAGGGUGAUCGGCCACACUGGGACUGACACACUGCCCAUACUCCUACGGGAGGAAUCAUUGGGGAAUAUUGCACAAUGGGCCAAAGCCUGAUGCAGCGACUCCGCGUGAGGGAUGACGGUCUUCGGAUUGUAGACCCCUUUCAGUAGGGACCAAUCGCAAGUGACGAUACCUGCAGAAAAAGCACCGGCCAACUACGUGCCAGCAUCCGCGGUAAUACGUAGGGUGCGAGCGUUGUCCGGAAUUACUGGGCGUAAAGAGCUCGUAGGCGGUUUGUCUCGUCGUCCGUGAAAACU